UACGGAGAGUGCAAACGUUGUUCGGAUUCACUGGGCGUAAAGGGCACGUAGGCGGCUCGGCAAAUCAGUCGUGGAAUCCCGCCGCUUACCGGCGGAACGGCGGCUGAAAAUACCGGGCUCGAGGGCGUGAGGGGUCGCUGGAACUCUGGGUGAAGCGGUGAAAUGCGUAGAUAUCCAGAGGAACGCCGGAGGCGAAAGCGAGCGACUGGCGCGUUCCUGACGCUGAGGUGCGAAAGCUGGGGGAGCAAACAGG
rnacentral:rRNA from 1 species